AUUGAACGCUGGCGGCAGGCCUAACACAUGCAAGUCGAGCGGUAGCACAGAGAGCUUGCUCUCGGGUGACGAGCGGCGGACGGGUGAGUAAUGUCUGGGAAACUGCCUGAUGGAGGGGGAUAACUACUGGAAACGGUAGCUAAUACCGCAUAACGUCGCAAGACCAAAGUGGGGGACCUUCGGGCCUCAUGCCAUCAGAUGUGCCCAGAUGGGAUUAGCUAGUAGGUGGGGUAAUGGCUCACCUAGGCGACGAUCCCUAGCUGGUCUGAGAGGAUGACCAGCCACACUGGAACUGAGACACGGUCCAGACUCCUACGGGAGGCAGCAGUGGGGAAUAUUGCACAAUGGGCGCAAGCCUGAUGCAGCCAUGCCGCGUGUAUGAAGAAGGCCUUCGGGUUGUAAAGUACUUUCAGCGAGGAGGAAGGCGUUAAGGUUAAUAACCUUGGCGAUUGACGUUACUCGCAGAAGAAGCACCGGCUAACUCCGUGCCAGCCGCCGCGGUAAGAC
rnacentral:rRNA from 1 species